rnacentral:pre_miRNA from 1 species
CCCUUAACUAUUAAAAGCUUCGUUUUGGUUCGUUAACUUACUUUUUGGUUUCGUUUUGGUCCCUUAACUCAUCCUCCGUCAACCACUUUGGUCCAUUAUGUUAGGAUGAAUGUAUUAGAGUUAAGGGACCAAAAUGAAACCCAAAAAUAAGUUAAGGGACCAAAACGAAACCAAAAAAUACGUUAAGGGACCAAAACGAAACUUUAAAUAGAUAAGGGA